AUCGGGAAGAAUUUCUUCACAGAAAGGGUGAUUACACAUUGCAGUGGGCUGCCCGGGGAGGUGGUGGAGUCACUGUCCCUGGAGAUGUUUAAGGAAAGUCUGGACGUGGCACUCGGCGACAGGGUCUGACGGACGUAGUGGUGACUGGUUGUCGGUGGGAAUCGAUGAUCUCAGAGGUCUUUCCCAACCUGAUUGAUUCUGUGACUAUGUGUGGUUCUGUAAUAUUUCUGACUUAUUAAGUGCAUCGUGACUUAAAGCAUCUCCACCCGUGGCUUUCCACCCCGGGUGCCUGGGCCACAUUUCAGUGCUGGGGAGGUACCUGGGCCACGUUCGAUGCUGGGGAGGUGCCACACUGGUGCGGCGCCCUUGGCAAGCACAGAGGUGCCAAAGGCCAAGUGCCGCUCCUGAACUAGGCUGUGAUUUCCCUCUUCGACAGAUGUUUUCCCCGUUUCGCCUGCAGACAUUUCCCAGAGGUGCUUGAGCUUCCCUCUGCUCGGUGGUGACACCCAGUUAUGGCAGAAAACCCCGUGCCCCCUGCCUGCCGUAAAUAACACCCAGCACCCUGCAGGUAGAUGGCACCGCCCUGGUUUUUUACCUUCACAGACCAGCGCCCCUUUACCCUGAGGAGAGGGGUAUGGGAACUGGCAGGGUGCUGCUGAAAUCCAGUUUCAAGAGGCAGAUGUGUGGGAGGCACAGGCAGCCCUGCCUUCAUCCUUCCUGGCUAAAGCUCCCUGUACGGUCUCUGGGAAAAACCAGGCAACUCCCAGGAUGAGCCUGUCCAUUUUGGGGUGAGACAUCUCCCCUCUACCUCUGCCUGUUCCUUGGCUUUUUAAGAAAACCGAAAGUGCAAAGACCUAAAGUGCUCUGCAAAUUUUUCAUCCCAGUCCACUUGACCUGGGAGCAUCCCUUUGCAUUCUGUACCGCCAGAUGGGUGCAGUGGCUCACUGCAUGCUGUCUUCUCGACAUCAGGGAAGAUGUUCCUCUCUCUGUUCCAGAUUCACCAGCAGGAAAAAAGUCCUGGGUUCACUCCAGGACUUCAGCAAAGUCCUGAGCCUUUUCUCCAGACACUGAUGGGAGCUUGCUGUUAUCUUCAGUGCAAGAGCAGCCCUACUCCUGUCCUUGCACUGUCGCUUCAUUUAUUGCCAAUUAACUGACUCGUUCGAGCUGAGCAGGGUCAGCAGAUAAUAGGAAUCUGGGCAUUUGUGGAGGAAAAGACACAGUGCAAAUGCCAAGGAAAUAUGGCCAGGAGGCAUUCGGAAAGCCAAGUGAGUGACUGGGAAACGGUAAAAAUCAACCUCUCAGCCCUCUUGGGUGGGGCACACAGGGCACGCUGCACCUGAGCCCCGCCGACUCCUGUUUGUGCAGCGAGUGCACCAGCCACCUGACACAUUCCCGGUUGCUCCUCCGGAGCUUUGUUUCCUGUGACCAACACCCAUUUGCACUAUUUCCUAAACAAGCAAGGGCUCAUCAGCGAGUGCCAUCGGUCCCGCUCCUGCUUUCCCUUUGAACUGUCUCUGCGGGCUGGGGAGCAGCCAAGUUCAAACAACCCGUGCCCGUGCCCGGGCAUCAGCCUGGGAGGACACAGAGCUUUAACGGAUUUAAUAGCACCAAACAGAUCAAAGCUUUCAAAUUGCAUAAUUAAAAAAUAUCCCCGAGGCACCAGUCUGUGAUACCACAGGACGCCAACAUGGGGUGCAGAAACCUGUGACUACGUUCGUCUGAAAUUUUUCCCGAGUGUUUAAAAAGGUGUAAAAAUCCACUAUUUAUUUUAUUUUAAUUUAUUUUAUUUUAUUUUAUUUUAUUUUAAAACACAUUUUAUUCCAACAUAUGAACCAUGUGUAGUGGAACAAUGGCUGUGCAAACAGGGCAUGGGGCAGGGAGAACCCUGUGUUUUAAAAUAAAGAUUAAAAUAAAAUAAAAUAUAUUUUUUAAUUCUAUGCCUUUCUCUCUCUCUUACUUUUCCCUG